GUGGAAAGACGUCGCUGUUCUGAUAUGAAGAGCUACCAUAUUUGAAAAUCACGAUUUGAAUAUCCUGUUUAUUUGAACAUUUGCGCAGGGCAUUUCCCUAUAUGGCCUCUUUCAGCUUAGGCCAAAGUGGCGCACAACCUGUUAUGCAAUGCAGCAUGCAUCUGCCAUUUUGUAUUUAUAUACACUGUGCCAUUUUGCACCCAUUUUGAAGUGAAGUUACUUCGAUUACUUCGGAGGGUGUGGACGUGGAGUUGGUGUCAGUGUGGAGGUUAUGUUGAUGUUGCAGGUUGGCGUCAGUCCCACUAUCCAAUCACAGAUGGAUACCAAACGAGGGCGCAUAGCUGGAUCAUAUGGGAAGAGGAUGCUGCUUGCUGCUCUCCACUCCCGUGGCAGACAUAAAGGCGCGCAGCGUCACUCACGUAAAAAUGGACGAGAGGACUUCGACGAGCCAGGCUCUGAAAUGAGGGCGGUCCGGCUGAUGAUCGCCAAGAGGACGAUGAAGGAGGUGAGGCGCAUUCACUACAUCUAUAGUGUGUUCCAUGUCAAGCUUGCGGCUGAAGUGCUCUGUUGAAGGCAGUGCGUGAUUUCUGUGCAUACAUCUUACAUUCUAAGACUCAAAUUAUUGAAUGGAGUAGCGCGCUCAGCGAAUUGCCUGGAACUGCCAAGGGGACUCCGACCGCAAGCUUGAUAUGGAACAGACUAUAGUCCGGCCUGAAGUUUUAUAGUGGGAGGGCAAUUGCAUAGGUGAGUUCAUAUGCAUUUAUUGAAGCACUGCGAUCGAUGCAGGAU